GUAGGUGAACCUGCGGAAGGAUCAUUACAAAUCCAGCGUCCAUUAAGUCACUUAAUGAGACCUCGUUGAAGUGUCCUCGGGAGCGUGUCGGAUAGGGGGAGGGCAUGGCGAGUGGCGAGAGAGCAAGGGAGCGACAAGGGGGUGAGGGACAGGAGGGAUCUCAAAGUAGGUUUACCGGUCCCUUUCUUCUGCGUCGCUCUCUCUCUCUCUCUGCCUGCUUGCCUGGCCUCUCUGUCUGAUGAUGUCUCUC
rnacentral:misc_RNA from 1 species